ensembl:lncRNA
CAUGACUCUCCACUAAGAAAGAGGAAACAUCAAUUUCUAUUAAAUAGGUGUUUCUACCCGCCCCCCUCUCCAAAUUGCAAUAGAAUUAGACUACAAAUAUACACUGUCAGAAAGUAGCAUCAUUCUCAAUGACAGACUCCAAUCUCAAAAGACCUUUAUAUCUAAGAGUCUAAGUUAUGUUAAAUUAAUUUGAGAUAAGGAAAUACAUUAAAAUGUCUAUAGUACUUCAGCUUUCCCUAUUUCAGCAAAUCAGUAACUUUGAAAACAUGAAGAUGCCUGUAAUAAGAAAAAAGAAUUCAUUUAUACAAGAAAUGUGUAUUGAACACCAAUUAUGUCUUAAGAAUUAGAUGACCUGGGCUGAAGACAAUAAGAAAUAUAAAAUCCUAUCCAUGCUCUUGAAUUGCUCUUAGGAAAGUAGACAGAACUAUUUUUUGUGGGUUUCUUUUUUGAAGGUAGGGUGUGUGUUUCUUUGCCAUAUUUUCCCUGUAAAUUUGUGAAAGGUGAAUAUUUGACUUUCACACAUAUUUUUUGAGUCAAAUAUAUCCAAACAUGCUCUACAUAAACUUAAUCACUUAAAUCUGGGCACAAAUUCCAAAGCAAAUUUAUGAAUCCUGUACAAAUUUUAAAAACAGUAUACACUGUCCUCUGUAUCAGAGCCUUCAUUUAGUAUUAUUUGUUGUUGCUGCCUCUAAAUGUCAAGGGUGUCCUGGUUAAGCCAAAGCUAGAAAUGAGAUAUGGCUGGUGGGCUGAGUUAGCUGAACUGUACCCCUCUUGUCUGUAUACUUCCAUUAGCUGACUAACAUAAGAAAAUGGGGCAUUUACAUCAUGGCUUCCAGAACAGGUGACUCAGUGGAAUUCAAAUUGCCAGGAAAGUGUGGAUAUCCCAUCCAAAGCAAAGAUAAUUUGAAUAUGGUUUGCUUAUCUGAGACUGGACUCUGGAAGCUGGAGGGGAACAGAGAUUCUGAGAAUGUCCAGUAUACGGUGUACAACCAAUAAAUGAUUAAAGAAGAAAGGGAAGAAUAGAGAAGAGAAAGAAAGAAAAAGGAAGAAAAAGGAGUGAAAAGGGGGAGAAAGAAAAGGAAGAGAAAUGCAUGGAAAGUAGGGGAAGAGAAAGGAAAAGAUGAGAAAGGAAGAGAGGAAGGAGGAAAGAAGGGAGGGUAGGAAAAGGGAAGAAUGGCACCUGUGUUGUGAUUUGAAACAGAGAAGUCUCCCUUUUGCCUUUUAAGGUAGCAAUAAAUGAAAUGUAUACAGAUGCUAAAGAAAUAAAGAAUUCCUAGGAUGGCAUAUAUAUGGCUGUCUAAAUGUCAAUUCAAGAUAUUUAAUAUAAGAACAAAUUAAAGAAUCAGAGUUAUAGUCUCUUAUUUUUUCCUUGCCUGAUCGAAAACCAAAAAAGUUACUAUAAGACUGGUAAUAAGUCAUGACCCUUGGCAUAUAUAAUUUGAAAAAAGAAUCUAAGAAAGGCAAGUAAGGAUUUUCUUCUUGCCAUAUGGGGUAAUAAGUUUUAUAAUGAAAACAAUUGCAAGUUACAUAAACAAUUGUAUGCACAGCUAUUUUGAGGGAUGUCAAGUUGCAGGAUGUAGUCUUGCCUAUGAGGACCUCAAAUGGAAUAUAGAUGAAGGCUAUAUGU